rnacentral:rRNA from 1 species
UACGUAGGGUGCGAGCGUUGUCCGGAAUUAUUGGGCGUAAAGGGCUCGUAGGCGGUUUGUCGCGUCGGGAGUGAAAUCCACUGGCUUAACUGGUGGCUUGCUUUCGAUACGGGCAGACUGGAGGUAUGCAGGGGAGAACGGAAUUCCUGGUGUAGCGGUGAAAAUGCGCAGAUAUCAGGAGGAACACCGGUGGCGAAGGCGGUCUCUGGGCAUGUCCUGACGCUGAGGAGCGAAAGUGUGGGGAGCGAACAGGG